UGGGGACACUCAGUUGCAGAUAGGUGAUGGGAGACAGUCGGGGCCCAAUUUGAAGCAGUUGCCAGUGGAUGAUAAAGUUGCUCUCAAGAGCAGUGCUUGAGGGAAGAAAAUAAAUUCUCCAUUUCAAAAGAAAAUCCAGGGCAGGACAAUCUUACUGUUGGAACAAAGAAAAGAGCCCGAUGGAAAAACGGUUAGCUUUUGCUUUUGAGAAAUGUGGUACCUCCAUGGCUUGAUGGCAGGCUGCGUGCAUCCAUUCGCGGCGAGUAGAAUCUAAGACUGCAGCCCGUGCUGAUGACUGUGGCUGUGAUGAAUUCCUGCCUGUGACCACAGCUGCUCUCCAGGUGCUGGGUGGCUCAUCCCUUGACGCCCAUCCAUUCUGUCUCCUGCCUGGCCUUGUUCACUGUCGCUCUUCUCGCUCAGCUGAGGUCCCUCCUCCUCCGCUGUUUGGUGUCCUUGCCAGUUAAUCACCCUUAGGUGCUGGGCCCUGCACUUACGGACAACAUGGAGCCUGGCUUGUUGA
rnacentral:sRNA from 1 species